GACGAACGCUGGCGGCGUGCUUAACACAUGCAAGUCGAGCGGAAAGGCCCUUCGGGGUACUCGAGCGGCGAACGGGUGAGUAACACGUGAGCAACCUGCCCUAGGCUUUGGGAUAACCCUCGGAAACGGGGGCUAAUACCGAAUAUUCACUUCCGGCGGCAUCGUUGGUUGUGGAAAGUUUUUCGGCUUGGGAUGGGCUCGCGGCCUAUCAGCUUGUUGGUGGGGUGAUGGCCUACCAAGGCGACGACGGGUAGCCGGCCUGAGAGGGCGACCGGCACACUGGGACUGAGACACGGCCCAGACUCCUACGGGAGGCAGCAGUGGGGAAUAUUGCACAAUGGGCGGAAGCCUGAUGCAGCGACGCCGCGUGAGGGAUGACGGCCUUCGGGUUGUAAACCUCUUUCGACAGGGACGAAGCGUGAGUGACGGUACCUGUAGAAGAAGCGCCGGCCAACUACGUGCCAGCAGCCGCCGUA
rnacentral:rRNA from 1 species